CCUACGGGGAGCAGCAGUUAGGAAUAUUGGUCAAUGGCCGUAAGGCUGAACCAGCCAAGUCGCGUGAAGGAAGAAGGAUCUAUGGUUUGUAAACUUCUUUUAUAGGGGGAUAAAGGUAUCCACGUGUGGAUAUUUGCAUGUACCCUAUGAAUAAGCAUCGGCUAACUCCGUGCCAGCAGCCGCGGUAAUACGGAGGCUGCGAGCGUUAUCCGGAUUUAUUGGGUUUAAAGGGUGCGUAGGUUGUUUUUUAAGUCAGCGGGGAAAGUUUGUGGCUCAACCAUAAAAUUGCCGUUGAAACUGGAAGACUUGAGUGUGUUUGAGGUAGGCGGAAUGCGUGGUGUAGCGGUGAAAUGCACAGAUAUCACGCAGAAUUCCGAUUGCGAAGGCAGCUUACUAAGCCAUAACUGACACUGAAGCACGAAAGCGUGGGGAUCAAACAGGAUUAGAUACCCUGGUAGUC
rnacentral:rRNA from 1 species